rnacentral:lncRNA from 1 species
GAACAACUACAGCUUAUUGAAUUUGUUCUGGUGAGUAGAAUCAUUACCUUCAGGCUUUUUGCUGUAAACACUGUCUUUUCAGAGAAAAUGCAGUGUUUACAUUACAGCCUAGUGAUAACUUCACUGGCCACUCCUCAGAUGGCUGUUAGAGAUCCUUCCUGGGUCAUGACUGCCUAAAAUGCAUCCAAACAUUCAGUAUCUCCUCCCUCUGCAUGCAGACACUGAACUUUCC